rfam:Brachypodium distachyon strain Bd21 chromosome 4, whole genome shotgun sequence.
CAUCUACUCCCUCCGUCCCAUAUUAAGUGACUUUCUAUUACAUGUAUCUAGGCACUUUUUAGACAUAGAUACAUCCCAAUUUGGACAAAUUUGAGUCACUUAAUAUGGGACGGAGGGAGUAACUG